UUGUGACCGAGGAACAGCUGACCACACAUCGCACACAGCCACAGACCACUGGGUCGCCAGCAAGCCCAUCAGGGGGAGAGUCUGUGCCUGGACACCGCCCGAGACGAGAAGGCAAACCUCUCAGCGAUUGCACCGCUGGACCCAUGGAACCAGAAUUCUUUGAGGCCUUCCCAGAAAACAAAGACUUCUUUAAGUUUGUCAUUGACAAUCUCCAGGAUCCAGCAAACUGGGACUACCUGCAGCUCCUGCUGACUGAAGAUGAUGCCUGGGAAUUUAUGGCCGGGGCUGUGUUGU